rnacentral:rRNA from 1 species
GUGCCAGCAGCCGCGGUAAUACGUAGGGUGCGAGCGUUGUCCGGAAUUACUGGGCGUAAAGAGCUCGUAGGUGGUUUGUCGCGUCGUCUGUGAAAUUCCGGGGCUUAACUCCGGGCGUGCAGGCGAUACGGGCUGACUUGAGUGCUGUAGGGGAGACUGGAAUUCCUGGUGUAGCGGUGAAAUGCGCAGAUAUCAGGAGGAACACCGAUGGCGAAGGCAGGUCUCUGGGCAGUAACUGACGCUGAGGAGCGAAAGCAUGGGUAGCGAACAGGAUUAGAUACCCUGGUAGUCCAUGCCGUAAACGGUGGGCGCUAGGUGUAGGGGGCUUCCACGUCUUCUGUGCCGUAGCUAACGCAUUAAGCGCCCCGCCUGGGGAGUACGGCCGCAAGGCUAAAACUCAAAGGAAUUGACGGGGGCCCGCACAAGCGGCGGAGCAUGUGGAUUAAUUCGAUGCAACGCGAAGAACCUUACCUGGGCUUGACAUACACCAGAUCGGGCCAGAGAUGGUCUUUCCCUUUGUGGUUGGUGUACAGGUGGUGCAUGGUUGUCGUCAGCUCGUGUCGUGAGAUGUUGGGUUAAGUCCCGCAACGAGCGCAACCCUUGUCUUAUGUUGCCAGCACGUUAUGGUGGGGACUCGUGAGAGACUGCCGGGGUUAACUCGGAGGAAGGUGGGGAUGACGUCAAAUCAUCGUGCCCCUUAUGUCCAGGGCUUCACACAUGCUACAAUGGUCGGUACAACGCGUCUGCGAGCCUGUGAGGGUGAGCUAAUCGCUGUAAAGCCGGUCGUAGUUCGGAUUGGGGUCUGCAGCUCGACCCCAUGAAGUCGGAGUCGCUAGUAAUCGCAGAUCAGCAACGCUGCGGUGAAUACGUUCCCGGGCCUUGUACACACCGCCCGUCACGUCAUGAAAGUUGGUAACACCCGAAGCCAGUGGCUCAAACUCGUUAGGGAGCUGUCGAAGGUGGGAUCGGCGAUUGGGACGAAGUCGUAACAAGGUA